rnacentral:rRNA from 1 species
CCUACGGGAGGCAGCAGUGAGGAAUUUUCCGCAAUGGGCGAAAGCCUGACGGAGCAAUACCGCGUGAGGGAUGAAGGAUUUUGGUCUGUAAACCUCUUUUCUCAAGAAAGAAGUUCUGACGGUACUUGAGGAAUAAGCAUCGGCUAACUCCGUGCCAGCAGCCGCGGUAAUACGGGGGAUGCAAGCGUUAUCCGGAAUGAUUGGGCGUAAAGCGCCUGUAGGUUGUUUAUUAAGUCCGUUGUUAAAGCCUAGGGCUUAACCCUAGAAAAGCAAUGGAAACUAGUAGACUAGAGUAUGGCAGGGGUAGAGGGAAUUUCUAGUGUAGCGGUGAAAUGCGUAGAUAUUAGAAAGAACACCGGUGGCGAAAGCGCUCUACUGGACCGUUACUGACACUCAGAGGCGAAAGCUAGGGUAGCAAAGGGAUUAGAUACCCCUGUAGUCCUAGCCGUAAACGAUGGAUACUAGAUGUUGUGCAUUAUGUACAGUAUCGUAGCUAACGCGUUAAGUAUCCCGCCUGGGAGUCGCUCGCAAGGUGAAACUCAAAGGAAUUGACGGCNGAGAGNGCGACGACGACGACGAGGAGAG